rnacentral:sRNA from 1 species
UAACUGCAGGAUUAAAAGGGUAAAUACC